rnacentral:rRNA from 1 species
GUGCCAGCAGCCGCGCGGUAAUACGGAGGGUGCAAGCGUUAAUCGGAAUUACUGGGCGUAAAGCGUGCGUAGGCGGUUUAUUAAGUCAGAUGUGAAAGCCCCGGGCUUAACCUGGGAACUGCAUUUGAAACUGGUAAACUAGAGUAUGGUAGAGGAAAGUGGAAUUUCUGGUGUAGCGGUGAAAUGCGUAGAUAUCAGAAGGAACAUCAAUGGCGAAGGCAGCUUUCUGGACCAAUACUGACGCUGAGGUACGAAAGCGUGGGUAGCAAACAGGAUUAGAUACCCUGGUAGUCCACGCCGUAAACGAUGAUAACUAGCCGUUGGGGGGAUUUACCCUUUAGUGGCGAAGCUAACGCGUUAAGUUAUCCGCCUGGGGAGUACGGCCGCAAGGUUAAAACUCAAAGGAAUUGACGGGGACCCGCACAAGCGGUGGAGCAUGUGGUUUAAUUCGAUGCAACGCGAAGAACCUUACCUGGUCUUGACAUCCUGCGAACUUUCUAGAAAUAGAUUGGUGCCUUCGGGAACGCAGUGACAGGUGCUGCAUGGCUGUCGUCAGCUCGUGUCGUGAGAUGUUGGGUUAAGUCCCGUAACGAGCGCAACCCCUGUCCUUAUUUGCCAGCACAUUAUGGUGGGAACUAUAAGGAGACUGCCGGUGAUAAACCGGAGGAAGGCGGGGACGACGUCAAGUCAUCAUGGCCCUUACGACCAGGGCUACACACGUGCUACAAUGGUAGUGACAAUGGGUUAAUCCCCAAAAACUAUCCCAGUUCGGAUUGUCGUCUGCAACUCGACGGCAUGAAGUCGGAAUCGCUAGUAAUCGCGUAACAGCAUGACGCGGUGAAUACGUUCCCGGGCCUUGCACACACCGCCCGUCA